ensembl:lncRNA
CCCGGCUUGAAUUCAGUCUGAAACAAGGAGAGUAGGGAUGUAAGGAGGUGGAGGAUGAGGAGAGAAGAGAUAUGGAAGGUGCUCUCAUGAUGGAAGGCGCUACCAGGACGGAAGGUGCUAUCAUGAUGGAAGAUGCUACCACGAUGGACAUGCUACCACGAUGGAAGGUGCUAUCAUGGUGGAAGAUGCUACCAUGACGGAGGUGAUACCGCAAUGGAAGGUGCUGCACAGCGACAUGGGUUGGCAAGGGGUCCCACUCCGGCACAGUCACUCCCCUUCCAUACACCUGCCAUCCUGGCUCCCAGGCAUGCCAUUUCUGAGCAUAACUCUAUUCCCAUACAGCAGUUUUUACAAUACAUUCAUAGAAUGCAAAUCAAGUGCAGUGUAGAGAAUGGUGGCUGCAUUUUAUAGUCUUCACGUAACUCAGAGGGGCGGAUGGAGCAGCAGGGAUGCUCAGGGGCUGCACCUCACCAGCACACACCAUUUACAAAAGGUUUGGUGAUCUUCACCAGCAAAGGAUGUGGUUGAGAAACUCUUUUGCCUUUGAAGGAAUUACACAGAAGACACCUCUGUGCAAGACCCAUUCCUCUCCAACAAAAAACUGCUGCUCCUGUUCAUACCCAAUGCAGGUACAGGAAUCCAAAGAGCAGAUCUGGCCCAUCUUCCCACAGAUGAGGAACCAGAAGGUUUAUUUUUCUGUUCUGCCAAUGCUGCCAAUCAUCACUCACGUUUCCAUACGUGAGGCGUUUUCAAUCCCAGCUGUGCAGCAUUUACACCACUGACAUUACCCUACAGUGCAUGCAAACAGCCCAGCAGCCAGAAUCAGCCUUGCCCAAAGCUGCUCUACAGUGCAGUUUCUCCACACCCCAUUUACCUGGGGCUGUCCUGGGAGCGUGACACAGCCAAGAGCUCGAAGCCUACACAACAUCAGGACAGUGCUGCACAACAUCCAGAACCAUGCUGUGAAGAGCAGUCAGCCCUGACCUGUGCAUUGCUGCACUGUCUCUAGUUUCUGUUAUCCACAGUUGACAUUUUUCCUUUCCACAGUUCUACUUUUCUGCAUUUAUUUUCUGCACACUCCUUUUAUGUACGCUCAGUUACAAUAGUGAUCAAAGAACUCAGAAGUUCCUAUGCAAAUGAAGUUACGAAUUUGCGGUUUGGGAAGAAUGUAAAACCCACUCAUUCUAUUUAUAUUGAAAUAUUUUAAUGUAUUUUUAAUGCCUUGGCCCUGGCAAAGUGAAUUUCAUUCAAGGAAGUGAUAUAUUGAGCAAACAUUAUUCUCCUAGGUUUAUUUCUUUGUCAAAUAAUUGAUUUUUUUUUAAUGUCUCAUAUUACAGCUAACGUUACAUAAAUGCAGAGAGAAGAAUUGCUUGGUUAACGUGCAUUUCUCACGAGGGCCCCUUCAGGGCUA